rnacentral:rRNA from 1 species
UACGAAGGGGGCUAGCGUUGCUCGGAAUUACUGGGCGUAAAGCGCGCGCAGGCGGUCUUCCAAGUCAGUGGUGAAAGCCCGGAGCUCAACUCCGGAACUGCCAUUGAAACUGUGAGACUUGAGUACGAGAGAGGUGAGUGGAAUUCCCAGUGUAGGAGGUGAAAAUUCGUAGAUAUUGGGAAGAACACCGGUGGCGAAGGCGGCUCACUGGCUCGUAACUGACGCUCAGGCGCGACAGCGUGGGGAUCAAACAGG